rnacentral:rRNA from 1 species
UGGGGAAUCUUGCGCAAUGGGCGAAAGCCUGACGCAGCGACGCCGCGUGCGGGAUGAAGGCCUUCGGGUUGUAAACCGCUUUCAGCAGGGACGAAGCGAAAGUGACGGUACCUGCAGAAGAAGCGCCGGCUAACUACGUGCCAGCAGCCGCGGUAACACGUAGGGCGCAAGCGUUGUCCGGAAUUAUUGGGCGUAAAGAGCUCGUAGGUGGUCCGCUGCGUCCGCUGUGAAAAUCCAGGGCUUAACCCUGGACUUGCAGUGGAUACGGGCGAACUAGAGGUAGGUAGGGGAGAAUGGAAUUCCCGGUGUAGCGGUGAAAUGCGCAGAUAUCGGGAGGAACACCGGUGGCGAAGGCGGUUCUCUGGGCCUUACCUGACACUGAGGAGCGAAAGCGUGGGGAGCGAACAGGAUUAGAUACCCUGGUAGUCCACGCCGUAAACGUUGGGCGCUAGGUGUGGGGUCCUUCCACGGAUUCCGUGCCGCAGCUAACGCAUUAAGCGCCCCGCCUGGGGA